rnacentral:rRNA from 1 species
ACGUAGGGGGCAAGCGUUGAUCGGAAUCACUGGGCUUACAGCGCGUGUAGGCGGGGCGGCAGGUCUUCUGUGAAAGCGCCCAGGCUUAACCGGGCGAGGACAAUGAAGACUGGUCAGCUAGAGGACGGUAGAGGGGUGUGGAAUUCCGGGUGUAGUGGUGAAAUGCGUAGAGAUCCGGAGGAACACCAGAGGCGAAGGCGACACGCUGGGCCUGGCCUGACGCUCAGACGCGAGAGCAUGGGGAGCGAACGG